AUAAUGGGUGGUAGAAACACGCCACACGUAUAUACACAUACAAAAACAUGAAUUUGAAUGUGAUGACGGCGGGAAAAACACGCCCAAAAUAAGUAUAAAUGUGUUUUACACACAGGUAAAAACAUACAUAGUACGGGAGUAAAACCUUUUGGCGGAGAAGGGGUGGAGGUGGGUUGUUAAUUUCGACCAUAUUGGAUGCCACGUUAGUCAAGAAGGAUCCAAAAGGGCCACAAUGGCCAACACUGAAUUUGAUUGGUCAAAAGAGCCCAUGUGACCCCACACUGAGGUUAUACACAAGUAAUUAAAUAUAAGGCUUGAACCAAUAUAAUGUUCAACAAUUAAGAAAUCGUACAAUGACAUAAAAUCUUUUAUGUGUGCAUAAAAUAUUAUUUAUGUAUUGUCCUCGGUGGUAAUGAAAAGGUCAUAGACCGGACGGACUCGUAUGACUUGAAGGAAAGAACAAACACAAUGUUGUUGAUUGAAAACGGGCAUUUAUUAUAAAAUGCCAUAAAACAAUAUAAAAAUAGAACAGAUUCUUUCCAGAAAGGCAUAAUGGGUGGUAGAAACACGCCACAAAGGGGACCGGAACGGGAACCCCGCCGCCCAUGAAACCAUUGGAACAAUAAACUGUCAGUAAACAUAUAUACAUAAUAUGAAAAACCUUGAUAAAAGUAAGAUUUGGAAUGUACUUAAAAAAGAGCGACCAAUCAAAAAGUAAUAAACAAUUGGGCUGCAGAUGUAAACUGGCAGACAGUUAAAGAGACAUAUACAACAAAUACCAAUAAUCCAGACGAAUAUCUGUGGGAAAAACCAUAUGGAACAGCUCGGGUAACAAGCCUGUGAUUUAAAACGUGAAAGAACUGGGCUAACGAUUAUCGCUUGUGAGUAAGCAAAGUAAAAAGGGUAAUGGAUUAUGCUGGAAAAUAUAUAUGUAAUGGUUUUCGAGGACAAAACCUAGGAAACGUAUUGAUCUUAUUUGGUGUGACUUAGUGGAGCAUGAUUAUUUACAUAGGAAUGUGGCAGAUCCCUGUGGGGCGACAUUCCCUUUAACUCAGAGAUAUGAAAAACUAAUAUGCCUAACAGUAG